AAACCAUACACCAGGCAUUUUCUAAUCAAUUCCUUGAAUCGCUUCCAAGCUUCAUACAAUGUCUCAUCUUUACAUUGCCAAAAAGAUGUAAUAUUGUUCCUUACUUU
rfam:Gossypium raimondii chromosome 8, whole genome shotgun sequence.